UCCCCUUCAUUAUGGGCGCUUUGUCGUCUCUAAUGGUUCCAGCGGGUGUGGACUGCUGCUACGAGAAAAAUAGAAGGAGGUGCGUCGACCGCGACGGUGAUAAGGUCCAUGGAGAACGCCGAUGUAUUGGGAUUCCAGUGAAACCGGUGCUCAGGUGAGACGCAGCUGCCCGUAAUCCCCAGUAGAUCGUUUUCAAUCCUUUUUGUUUGGUCCUUGCUGAUCUCCGGUGGGCACUAUGGUUAGAUUGUCUAUCUUCCAGGAAGCGGUCCACGUGCGCGAGCAAAUCUGGAUGGCAGGAGCAAGGUGUGUAGCCCUCGGGAAGAGUUAGCUUCAGAAUCGUCUGUGGGGGCGCUCCUUCGAGGGGCCAGGUUGCUGAACAUAAUGCAAACUACAGCGAAAAUGCGCCCACAGAAUCAGGUGAAUCCGUUGUGAAGCCGGAUAUGGAUUAAGAUGUAAUUAGCUUACUUUGGUAAAGAACUAGAAUUGUUCGUCAGUUGGCAUGUGCCUGAAUGUUCUUUAAAUUCCGAAACUAAAUCAUCGUGUAAGUGUGAAAUUGGUGAUGUUUGAGCUGUAAUACAUUGCAGAGUAGUUGAACAAGGAGCUUACUUUAGAGGAAUGAAGCAUUGUACAG
rnacentral:lncRNA from 1 species